rnacentral:snRNA from 1 species
AGCUUUGCGCAGUGGCAGUAUCGUAGCCAAUGAGGUUUAUCCGAAGCACAGUUAUUGCUAAUUAAAAGUACUGUAAAUAUACUUUUUGUACAUUUUUAUAUAAUAAAAUUUAAAUUAAAAGCACCAAU